rnacentral:rRNA from 1 species
UACGUAGGUGGCGAGCGUUGUCCGGAUUUACUGGGCCUAAAGAGCGCGCAGGCGGUCGUUCAAGUCGCGUGUGAAAGCCCCCGGCUCAACUGGGGAGGGUCACGCGAUACUGAUCGACUCGAAGGCAGGAGAGGGUAGUGGAAUUCCCGGUGUAGUGGUGAAAUGCGUAGAUAUCGGGAGGAACACCAGUGGCGAAGGCGACUACCUGGCCUGUUCUUGACGCUGAGGCGCGAAAGCUAGGGGAGCAAACGGG